UACGUAGGGGGCUAGCGUUGCUCGGAAUCACUGGGCGUAAAGCGCACGUAGGCGGUUUGUUAAGUCAGGGGUGAAAUCCUGGAGCUCAACUCCAGAACUGCCUUUGAUACUGGCGAUCUUGAGUCCGGGAGAGGUGAGUGGAACUCCGAGUGUAGAGGUGAAAUUCGUAGAUAUUCGGAAGAACACCAGUGGCGAAGGCGGCUCACUGGCCCGGUACUGACGCUGAGGUGCGAAAGCGUGGGGAGCAAACAGG
rnacentral:rRNA from 1 species